GAAACGACAGCUCAUCUGGGAUGUUUGUAGAACACAAACUUCAUUAAAGGAUUUUCGCUUGUGCAUGUCAGCAAGAUGCAUUUUAAAAGACAAUGAGGCGUCUCGGUAUGCUGUGUCUGAUGUUGAUGCAGUCUGGGCAGUAGUGUCUGCUGGGGUUCUGACUACCACUGACGAUGAAGCACUUCUCCAGAUCUUCUCUGCCUUGACUUUGUGUCUUCUGCCAUCAUUGUUCAGUAAAGUACUGCAAAGAACAGUGUCCAGGAUGUUCCCCAACCAUUUGCUUCCAGACUGUCAUGUGCCAUGUUUGGAUUAUUGCUACAUUUGGAUUACUGCUGUGUAUGGAUUACUGUAUGGAUUAUGGUAUGUCGUGAAGAACACUUACAGUGUGACGCUUGACGCAGGACAGAAAAAACCCCCAAAACCAAACUAUUGACAACUUGUGUGGCCGAUCCAAUGCCACACUAAACUCAUUGUACUGCUGCCUUCACUGCAUUCACUAAAUAUGAUUGUUUUUGCUUUGUUUCCAAAUGUCUGAAACACUGCAUUGAAAAAUAUGAAAAUAUAACUUUUUUUAAGUAAGGUUAACUAAUUAGAUUAUACAGUGAAUGAAUGGAUGAACAAAGCACUGGUCACAAAUAAAUGAACACAAAUAAACAAAACAGUAAUAAUUGUCA